ensembl:lncRNA
UAUGGACUGUAGCCCGCCAGGCUCCUCUGUCCCUGGGAGUCUCCCGACCCGGCUCUCCCGCGUUGCAGGUGGAUUAAAGAACGAAAGCCAUGGUACAAUACACAAAAGCCAAUGGAUCCAGCUACUGGGUUGCCAGACAGCCAGACCCAAUCCCCUGCUACCUGACACCAGCCCGUGACCCUGCAAGACCAACUCCAGAGGAGGAAGAACACAAGAUCCUUACGCCACUGAUUUUCAUCACUGCCCUCUGACCACGCGCCCUCAUCUGUAUGAUCCCCCAGACUCCUCAUGGAGGGGGCUCCAGCUCCUGAGGACACGUGCCUGCUGAGUCUCCCCUCUGCUGGCUGGGGACUAAAGCCACCUUUCCGUCUCCUCCAAACUCUGUCUCUGUAUUUUUCGUUUGGCUUCGGUGCACAGACAAGGCCAAGAUGUUGGUGGCAUCACACUCAUCACUAGAUGAUGCUGAGAGCAAAGCUUUGGUGCCAGGAGACCAGCUGCACACCGAGUGUUCACACUGCAUACGUGUGACCAACUUGAGAAGCCUCACGGCUGCAUGGCCGCGCCUUCGGGUCAUUUCACUGCCGCACCACACCCUUGGCCUGUACAGAGCUCAUACACAUUUAAGUCGACUCCCAGGACCCUUGGAGUUGACGUUUUCUCUGAAAACAAUUGAAAAAUGAGCAUGUUGCCGUGGGUUGCUGCGAGCACCAGGGCCUGGUGCACCCAGCUGGGCUGCCAGGCAGGCCUGCAGGGAAGGCAUGUUCCCCUCCGGCUGAUUCCGAGCUGUCAGCAGACACGUGACUCCUGCUCACACGCCCCGGGCGGGAAGUCCUGCCUGCUGUGGGCCGGCCCUGAGGUCUGGGAAGGGGUGGCUCCUGUGCGUCCACCGCUGCGGACAGGGAGGGCGGCGGUGAUUUCUGCUGCUUCAGAAAGUGGGGCCCUUUGCAG